AAUCAAUAAAAGGUUGUUUGUGCUUAACCAAGUACGACCACCAGAGGGCAGUGUUUCUAGUGUCUUUAUCUACACUGACUGAGGACUGAGGAGUUUCAUCUGGGUGUAGACAUGACACGGUUGGCAUCGAAACUAAACACCAACAACUGUGGGAAUCAUUCAUUAGAUGAAGACGGCAGGAGGAAUGAAGGAAACAAUUAAAUGAAUCCAUCUUAGAUACGUCUGUAAAUAAACAGAUGUAGGGAAUCAGAGUAUUGUUACUCCUCUCCAGCAAGGUGUGUGUCCACAAGGGAGCGAAGCGUCACCCUCAGGGCUCAGUGAACACCCCCCCCCCCUAUUUUUCGAAACCCAGGUACCACCAGCCAGAAGAAGCCUCAGGUUAUAACUUACUUCUGGGUCUGUGUCCUGAUUUGAUCUGAGUUGUUCAUGACAGCGUGGAUACGCUUCAAGGUUGUUUUUUUUGGUUGUUGUCUUUAAUGUCUCCUAACUCGGAAAAGUGUUCCAAGUGUUUCCUUGGCUUCUUUUUCUCCAGUUGUAUUUUGAUACUUUGAGAGUCCCAGGAUUUCACCACAGAUGAUACAAAGUACAGCAUUACUUUAUACCCUUGAAGGCUUACCGCGUUCACACCAAAAGCUUUAGUUUCACUUUUCACAUAAACGAUGUGACGCAGUUAGCUGUUGCUCAAAGCUCUUCCGUUGAUCCGUCUGCACCGAGGAGCCCAGCAGCUCAGUCUUUACUCCCUCUCUGAUUUUGGUAUCCAGUCUACUAUGGAUGAGGAGAGAGAGGAGAGGGGUCCUACCUCUAAAGGAACUCUGUCUGAGGAACAUGUCCGCCAGAGCAAAGCUAAGCGAAGACUCCAGCCGGAGAGAGCAGUCUCCCCUGGACCCAGCUGUGUCUCCAUGAAGAGUGACUGGUCUAUGCAACAUCCUCCUGACCUUAGAGAUGGAAAUCAGCAAGUAGCUUCUAAGAAAAGGGGAGGAUUUAUAAAACAAAUAAUCGCCUUAAACAACAUCCACAAAUCUUAACUUAAUGUUUGCUUUUCUAGAAGGAGGCAGGAGAGAGCAGACUCCCCUGGACCCAGCUGUGUCUCCAUGAAGAGUGACUGGUCUAUGCAACAUCCUCCUGACCUUAAAGAUGGAAAUCAGCAAGUAGCUUCUAAGAAAAGGGGAGGAUUUAUAAAACAAAUAAUCGCAUUAAAAAAACAUCCACAUAUCUUAACUUGAUGUUUGGUUUUCUAGAAGGAGGCAGGAGAGAGCAGACUCCCCUGGACCCAGCUGUGUCUCCAUGAAGAGUGACUGGUCUAUGGGUCCUCACUUUAAAGAUGCACGCCACUCCAGAGAGGAAGGCCCUGCGCAGCAGGAGAGAGUAGACUCCCCUGGACCCAGCUGUGUCUCCAUGGAGGGUUACAGCUCUAUGGAAUAUCCACCUCACCUUAAAGAUGGAAAUCAGUCUAUUGAGAAGCGAAGGGUCCAGCAGGACAGAGCAGACUCCCCUGGACCCAGCUGUGUCUCCGUGAAGAGUGA